rnacentral:rRNA from 1 species
AUUGAACGCUGGCGGCAGGCCUAACACAUGCAAGUCGAGCGGAUGAAGGGAGCUUGCUCCUGGAUUCAGCGGCGGACGGGUGAGUAAUGCCUAGGAAUCUGCCUGGUAGUGGGGGAUAACGUCCGGAAACGGGCGCUAAUACCGCAUACGUCCUGAGGGAGAAAGUGGGGGAUCUUCGGACCUCACGCUAUCAGAUGAGCCUAGGUCGGAUUAGCUAGUUGGUGGGGUAAAGGCCUACCAAGGCGACGAUCCGUAACUGGUCUGAGAGGAUGAUCAGUCACAACUGAAACUGAAAACCGUCCCAGAUCCUAAGGGAAGGAAGCAUGGGGAAUUUUUGGAAAAUGGCGAAAGCCUGAUCCAGCCAUGCCGCGUGUGUGAAGAAGGUCUUCGGAUUGUAAAGCACUUUAAGUUGGGAGGAAGGGCAGUAAGUUAAUACCUUGCUGUUUUGACGUUACCAACAGAAUAAGCACCGGCUAACUUCGUG